GAUGAACGCUGGCGGCGUGCCUAAUACAUGCAAGUCGAGCGAACGGACGAGAAGCUUGCUUCUCUGAUGUUAGCGGCGGACGGGUGAGUAACACGUGGAUAACCUACCUAUAAGACUGGGAUAACUUCGGGAAACCGGAGCUAAUACCGGAUAAUAUUUUGAACCGCAUGGUUCAAAAGUGAAAGACGGUCUUGCUGUCACUUAUAGAUGGAUCCGCGCUGCAUUAGCUAGUUGGUAAGGUAACGGCUUACCAAGGCAACGAUGCAUAGCCGACCUGAGAGGGUGAUCGGCCACACUGGAACUGGAACCCGGUCCAGACUCCUACGGGAGCCAGCAGUAGGGAAUCUUCCGCAAUGGGCGAAAGCCUGACGGAGCAACGCCGCGUGAGUGAUGAAGGUCUUCGGAUCGUAAAACUCUGUUACUAGGGAAGAACAUAUGUGUAAGUAACUGUGCACAUCUUGACGGUACCUAAUCAGAAAGCCACGGCUAACUACGUG
rnacentral:rRNA from 1 species